rnacentral:rRNA from 1 species
UUGGAGGGCAAGUCUGGUGCCAGCAGCCGCGGUAAUUCCAGCUCCAGUAGCGUAUAUUAAAGUUGUUGUGGUUAAAAAGCUCGUAGUUGAACCUUGGGCCUGGCUGGCCGGUCCGCCUCACCGCGUGCACUGGUCCGGCCGGGCCUUUCCCUCUGCGGAACCCCAUGCCCUUCACUGGGUGUGGCGGGGAAACAGGACUUUUACUUUGAAAAAAUUAGAGUGCUCAAGGCAGGCCUAUGCUCGAAUACAUUAGCAUGGAAUAAUAGAAUAGGA